GCGUCUACGGAUGCACGCCGGUCAGCGAAGGUUCGCCCACCGGCGUAUUUUGC
rnacentral:sRNA from 1 species